UGUUGUUCUUCCUGUCGUUUUAUGAAUGAAUAAUAUUAAGAUUAAUCAUUAUACGCUUCAUCAUCAUUUUUACUGUUUAUAGUAUCAUGAGCGGCUGGGAACACGUUCAAGACAUGGCAACAAUGACGAGCCGUAAGUCUAAGAGUAGCAAGAAAGGAUUUGAAGUUUUUACCGAGCACAAGGAGACCCUCGCUCAAAGCCUGGUCUUUUCAUUGUCAGAUCUUGCAACACGAGCAGCAGGGAAAGGUUUGAUAGCCGAUGCAGUCAAGGCAGCAGGCAACAAACUGGGACAAGCUACCACAGAUAACGAAAGGGCAAAGUUUCUCAUAUAUUCUAUCAUAAGCAAGCUGAAUGUGGAUAAUGCUGCAGAAAUAAUGGAAAAAUUUCUUGAGUGCUUAGAAGAUACUGUUCCAGUUCUCCAUACAUUCUUGGAUAAAAUAUACAAGGAAGAGAAAGAGAAAGAAACAAGCCAACCUGAAAUGAUGAUCCUCAAAAAGCACCAGGCAGAUAUUAUCUCAAUUUUGGAACACGGUUCCACAGCAUCGGUUGCUGGGAAACUGCUGCAGUGUCAAGUCAUUUCCCCUGAUGAGCAUAAAAUCUGUGUUGAUCCUGGAGCACAGUAUGAAGACGUGGCUAUUAAUAAAAUAUUAACAGAGAUCAGUAUAUCGAUCAAGCUUAACGAUGAAAAAUUUACAAUUUUUGUUGACGAUGUUCUUGAUGGGAUGGGAGGCUCAGCAGAGUACAUUGCAAAAAUGAUGAAAGAUGAAUACAAUGGCACUAGAUGAAGUUCCAAUGAUCAGUAUUAGUCUAGUACUUUUAAAACAGAAAUAACUUUCAUUGUUAAUUUAGAAUUUAUUGUGUCACUACAGUAUAGAAUAUAAAUCUAGAUAUAUAUAUAUAUAAAUUAUAUAUAAUUGUUUUAUGAAUAAACUUAUUAUGAUGAUAAACGUAUCAUAAGUUUUUGUCAUGAGCGAGAGUGGAGAACAACAACAAGCUCUAGAAGAAGCGCCGCAACAAAACACGACAGAAAUGGCUACCAGAGAAUUAAAAGUUUUCAAAGCUAACAAAAAGAUGCUUGCUAAACUUUUGGUUCACUCCCUCACGAGAUUUUCGUCUCUGGCAGCUCAAGAAGGGAUGAUAGCCGACGCAGCAGUGGUAGCUGAAAAAUUUGGAAAAACGACCACAAAGACUGACAGAGCAGUCUUUUUACUGAGUGCUGUCAUGAAAAAGAUGGACAGAAAAAUUAAUGGAGGGGCUGAGGUAAUGAAGAAAUUCCUUGACAGCAUAGAAGAUAGCGAAUUACUUCAUGAAUUCCUGAGUAAAAAGUACGAUGAAAA